rnacentral:tRNA from 1 species
GGUGUGGUGGCCAAGUGGUAAGGCGUUGGUCUUGUAAACCAAAGAUCAUGGCUGUUACCCACAUCCAUACCU